CUUUUAUGGAGAGUUUGAUCCUGGCUCAGGACGAACGCUGGCGGCGUGCCUAAUACAUGCAAGUCGAGCGAACCCUUCGGGGUUAGCGGCGGACGGGUGAGUAACACGUGGGCAACCUACCUGUAAGACUGGGAUAACUUCGGGAAACCGGAGCUAAUACCGGAUGACACAAAGGAACUCCUGUUCCUUUGUUGAAAGAUGGCUUCGGCUAUCACUUACAGAUGGGCCCGCGGCGCAUUAGCUAGUUGGUGAGGUAACGGCUCACCAAGGCGACGAUGCGUAGCCGACCUGAGAGGGUGAUCGGCCACACUGGGACUGAGACACGGCCCAGACUCCUACGGGAGGCAGCAGUAGGGAAUCUUCCGCAAUGGACGAAAGUCUGACGGAGCAACGCCGCGUGAGCGAUGAAGGCCUUCGGGUCGUAAAGCUCUGUUGUUAGGGAAGAACAAGUGCUAGUUGAAUAAGCUGGCACCUUGACGGUACCUAACCAGAAAGCCACGGCUAACUACGUGCCAGCAGCCGCGGUAAUACGUAGGUGGCAAGCGUUGUCCGGAAUUAUUGGGCGUAAAGCGCGCGCAGGCGGUUUCUUAAGUCUGAUGUGAAAGCCCCCGGCUCAACCGGGGAGGGUCAUUGGAAACUGGGAAACUUGAGUGCAGAAGAGGAAAGUGGAAUUCCAAGUGUAGCGGUGAAAUGCGUAGAGAUUUGGAGGAACACCAGUGGCGAAGGCGACUUUCUGGUCUGUAACUGACGCUGAGGCGCGAAAGCGUGGGGAGCAAACAGGAUUAGAUACCCUGGUAGUCCACGCCGUAAACGAUGAGUGCUAAGUGUUAGAGGGUUUCCGCCCUUUAGUGCUGAAGUUAACGCAUUAAGCACUCCGCCUGGGGAGUACGGUCGCAAGACUGAAACUCAAAGGAAUUGACGGGGGCCCGCACAAGUGGUGGAGCAUGUGGUUUAAUUCGAAGCAACGCGAAGAACCUUACCAGGUCUUGACAUCCUCUGACAACCCUAGAGAUAGGGCUUUCCCUUCGGGGACAGAGUGACAGGUGGUGCAUGGUUGUCGUCAGCUCGUGUCGUGAGAUGUUGGGUUAAGUCCCGCAACGAGCGCAACCCUUGAUCUUAGUUGCCAGCAUU
rnacentral:rRNA from 1 species